GACGAACCGUGCGAACGUUGUUCGGAUUCACUGGGCUUAAAGGCGCGUAGGCGGCUUGCCAAGUCAGGGGUGAAAUCUUUCGGCUCAACCGGAAAAGUGCUUCUGAUACUGGCGGGCUGGAGGAGGGUAGGGGCAGAUGGAACUUCCGGUGGAGCGGUGAAAUGCGUAGAUAUCGGAAGGAACGCCGGUGGCGAAAGCGAUCUGCUGGACCCUUUCUGACGCUGAGGCGCGAAAGCCAGGGGAGCAAACGGG
rnacentral:rRNA from 1 species